UAACUUUGUGGAAACUGCUGUGAAUCAGCCCACUGAAAAUCUAACCUUAAUGAAGAAAAGGUGGAGACUCUCUGACAGGCGAUAAGGAAGAGAAGGACUCACUGGAAGAUGUGAACUAUUAAGUCUGUUUCCAGUAUUGACAACAACUGGCAGAAACCCCCAGGAACUGCUUCUUCUGAUGAUGGCAUACAAGACCUCUUCCUCCAUCACUAGAGUGAGACCUGUCAACCAUGACAAGAAUUUGAGAUUUCCCAGAUUUAGCCUAGAAAAAUAAUUCCUGAUGGAGAUGUUACUGAAGAUGGAGAGAGAAUGAGAAAAAGAUGUAGAAGGGAUGCAGAAGAGUAAAAAUGUGAAGGAAGAAGGUAAAGAAGAAGAGAGAGGGAGGGAGAUCAAAGAAUGAUUUGCAGCAAGAACAGGACUGAGCACCAUUGUGCAAUACUUUCUUUUUUGAACUCAAGAGUUGAAAUAAGUCUGCUUUGACUCAUGUCUGGAAGAACAGAUGUCACACCUCAGCAGGCCCUGGACAGGCUGCCUGCUACUUCCAUCAUGCUGAUUUUUGUGGACCUGAGUCUGAGACAAUCAGCCAGUUUUUCUGUCUUUCUGCAGCCUGACCAUUCUUCCUGAUGCCACUGCUUGGCCUAAGGAACAGCCACAAGCUUCACAGCAUAGAGGGUAGCAAUAGCAACAACUUCCCCUACUACAAUUCUCAGACAGAGCACAUAACUGUAGAGGAAGAGGGUGGAUAAAGAUGUGCCAGAGUCAUAUGACUGCCACAGCACAUUUACUCUAGAAAAAAAGAAAGAGCAGCUGAGGACUAGUGCCUGAACUGGAGCAAUAAAAGCAGAUGCAACAGGUUGUACAGUUGAGAUGUAUGUACUUUCUUGCAUGUCCAGGCGUGAACCUACCAUCUAGGACUUCUUUCUUUUCCUUUCUCCAAAGACUGUAAUAUUUUCCACUGUGGCAGACUUAUAGAGAUUGUAUUUGCUGUAUAAAUAUUAACCUCCGCCGUCACCAAGCUUAAAAACAGGUCUGCCCCUCAGAAUUGCACUCGUACUUCAAAGACAUGAAUGAAAUCAUCGUCCCCAAAUAGAGUUUUGGGAUUUUCUGUCUUGUAGAAAAUAUGUGAGGUGUAUAUGGGAUGAGGAACUGCAGGGUAAAGUGUGGAAAAAGUGAGAAAGAGAAGAAAAGGAAGGGGAAAUCAAGCUGUCCCAAGUAGGGAAUCAUGAAAGUUGCUUCCCAUCACAGAGCUUUCAAUAGCAUUGUUUGAGGUCCCUAAAUCCACAAAUACCUGGCUCACU